rnacentral:rRNA from 1 species
GCGAGAAAACUUUGCAAUGUGCGAAAGCACGACAAGGUUAGUCCGAGUGAUUUCUGCUAAAGAGAUCUUUUGCUAGUUAUAAAACCACUAGUGAAUAAGGGGUGGGCAAGUUCUGGUGUCAGCCGCCGCGGUAAAACCAGCACCUCAAGUGGUCAGGAUGAUUAUUGGGCCUAAAGCAUCCGUAGCCGGCUCUGUAAGUUUUCGGUUAAAUCUAUGCGCUCAACGUAUGGGCUGCCGAAAAUACUGUAGAGAUAGGGAGUGGGAGAGGUAGACGGUACUCGGUAGGAAGGGGUAAAAUCCUUUGAUCUAUCGAUGACCACCUGUGGCGAAGGCGGUCUACCAGAACACGUUCGACGGUGAGGGAUGAAAGCUGGGGGAGCAAACCGG